rnacentral:lncRNA from 7 species
GAGCCCGCCGGGACCGGUGCGACCCAGCAGCACGGCGGAGCCGGGACGUGCCUGAAGCGCCGGGAGGAAAGACCAGCCGGGGAUAAACGCCGCGGGGGCAGCGGGCGGGAAGGAGCCCCCCGGCGCUGAGUGUCAUUGCUCUGCCCUUCUGCUACACUGACGUGCUUGGUGGAAACGUUGCAGUUCCCUGGCUGGACAAACUGUGUCACGCCUGUCAGCGACAGAAGUUCUGUACAGUGCUGCUUUCUCGCUGCAGGAGGCAACGUGUGCAGCCAAGCAGUUUUAGCCGUGUAACUGCCACAUCAGCAGGACAGGGGAGAAGGAUGCCUGACAACUAGAAGAAGACAAGGAGGCCAGGAGGAGAGAGGAUGUAAGAGGACUUGAGAGAAAAAGUAUAGAAGUACCGGCUAAGGUAAUUUCACUUAUCAAAUUGUAUUUAGGUAGCUCCCCUGUAUUAAAAAAACAAAACAAAAAACAAACAGACCUAAUACACAAGGUACCCUCUUCUUUUCUCUGCUGUACAAGUUAAUUCUGGGGGAAACCACUGAAGUAAGUAUUUUCUGAUUUCACUGUGGUCUGACUUAGGUGCCAACUGUUCACUUUCAAGGAGGAUUUACCAUAAAAUUCCAUGAUAAUAGCAAGCUUAAGCUCUCUAAAUAAAACAGAUUUUUAAUGGACUUCUGAGACCUGAUGUAAAAAGGAUGGGUGGAUCCCAGGAGAAACAAAAUGCUUGCAUGUAUAAGAGAUAUCUGCCAGGUGAGAGAAUUGAACCUUUUGAAAUUUCCGAAAUCAGUAGGGCUUAAUGUUAUCAUCAGACAGAGUUAUUAUCCCUGUGUCUGAGCUAGAGCUGUGGUUUCCAAGUGAGGGACUGAGAAAAGCAAACAGGAUUGUUUCCAGUUCAAAAAGCUCAGACUCUACUUUGCUUAGCAUGUUGCCUCUCUUGAAUGUCUUCUUUUUGCAAAUUCUCUACGGAAUGCAUGAGGAAUAGUUAACUGUUUGCUAACACUGUUUUGGCAUACCUAUGAGACUAAUACAAUAGAAAGCUAAACAACACAGCAUGCCAGUAUGCUUGGCACACUUAGUGGCCUGUUUUAAUUUACCUUAUGGCCAGCACUGAAACCAGGCAUGAUGGUAGUAAUGAAAACAACUACAU